rnacentral:siRNA from 1 species
AACCCGGGCAGAUUCGGCAGGA